UACGUAGGGUGCAAGCGUUGCCCGGAUUUAUUGGGCGUAAAGGGCGCGCAGGCGGCUACGCACGUCCGUUGUGAAAUCGCUCGGCUCAACUGGGCGGGGUCGGCGGAUACGGCGUAGCUGGAGCAAGCUAGGGGGCAAUGGAAUUCCCGGUGUAGUGGUGGAAUGCGUAGAUAUCGGGAGGAACACCAGUGGCGAAGGCGGUUGCCUGGAGCUUUGCUGACGCUGAGACGCGAAAGCGUGGGGAGCGAACAGG
rnacentral:rRNA from 1 species